rnacentral:rRNA from 1 species
GACGAACGCUGGCGGCGUGCUUAACACAUGCAAGUCGAACGGAAAGGCCCUGCUUUUGUGGGGUGCUCGAGUGGCGAACGGGUGAGUAACACGUUAGUAACCUGCCCUUGACUUUGGGAUAACUUCAGUAAACUGGGGCUAAUACCGGAUAGUAGCUCCUGCUGCAUGGUUGGGGUUGGAAAGUUUCGGCGGUGUGGGAUGGAAUCGCGGCUUAUCAGCUUGUUGGUGGGGUAGUGGCUUACCAAGGCGUUGACGGGUAGCCGGACUGAGAGGGUGACCGGGAUAAAUAGGAACGAAAUAACGAACAGACUCACGAGGGAGGCAGCAGUGGGGAAUAAUGCACAAUGGGCGGAAGCCUGAUGCAGCAACGCAGCGUGCGGGAUGACGGACUUAGGGUUGUAAACCGCUUUCGCAAGUGACGAAGCGUGAGUGACGGUAAUGGGUAAAGAAGCACCGGCUAACUACGUG